GAGCAAUGGAACUGAUUUUUGCUUCAAGGUAUUGACUUGGAACCACAAUGGGAUCAAGGGGGAGCAAUUCUUGCCCAGAGAAAAGGUUGCCGCAACUGGUUGGCAGAUCACCAGAGCUGUACCAAAAGAUCCCAAGAAGGAUAUUCACACAAAGUGGUGGGAGAAGGACAUGGAGAGCAACAUGAAGAAUAUCAAAUCACAAGAAGGCUGGAGAUAAGUUCACAUUGGCGCACUUCUUUUCACCUAGCUGUAGAGCUUGUAAGGCCCUACACUCUAAGGUAAAAGAAGAAAAGUAUGCGCAUUGUAUAUUCAACAAUUUUACAAUUAUCAAAAGAAGAAAUAAAUGCAUUUUCUGCAUAAAUUUACAUUGAUAUAUAGUACCUUUUUGUCAAAUGUCGAUAUAUAGUACCUUUUUGUCAAAUGUCCACAGAGGUACAUCAAUUUGCCAGGAUGCAUCCAGGAAUGCAAUUUGUUAUGAUCAACUAUAAUGAACAGACAGAGAUCUGUAAGAGGCUCAA